rnacentral:rRNA from 1 species
GACGAACGCUGGCGGCGUGCUUAACACAUGCAAGUCGAACGGUGAAGCGCCUUCCUUUUUGGUGGGUGUGGAUGAGUGGCGAACGGGUGAGUAACACGUGAGUAACCUGCCCCCUUCUUCUGGAUAACCGCAUGAAAGUGUGGCUAAUACGGGAUAUUCUGGGUCUGUCGCAUGAUGGGUCUGGGAAAGAUAUUGUUUCGGUGGGGGAUGGGCUCGCGGCCUAUCAGCUUGUUGGUGGGGUGAUGGCCUACCAAGGCGGUGACGGGUAGCCGGCCUGAGAGGGUGGACGGUCACACUGGGACUGAGACACGGCCCAGACUACUACGGGAGGCAGCAGUGGGGAAUAUUGCACAGUGGGCGCAAGCCUGAUGCAGCGACGCCGCGUGAGGGAUGGAGGCCUUCGGGUUGUGAACCUCUUUCGCCAGUGAAGCAGGCCUGCCUCGUUUGUGGGUGGGUUGACGGUAGCUGGAGAAGAAGCGCCGGCUAACUACGUG